ACCACUUGAGUUCAGAGAAUUGGUUCGUGAAGUGAUGUUCAAGUCACCAAGUGAUCUGAAAUACUAGCAAAUGACGCUUACUGGUAAUUCCUACAGCAAUCGAUGGUAAAUCAUCCAGUAAACUGAUGAUGCUACACCUGAAAAACAUAAUGGCUCUACAAUGGUAAGCAAGCCCGGAUGAUCGGAGGCCAUGGUAACUGGUACUUGUACACCGGGCCAUGGUGCCUGUCCCUCCCGUGCACGCGCUUCGUCUUCAUGGUGGCGAGGUCCACCGAGAUGAACCCCUCAUCCUCCGCCCCCA
rnacentral:lncRNA from 1 species